GUACUAGUCGGAUAUUUCAGCCGGAAUCUAUAGAACUAGACUACUAUGCUAUUAAUAGCACUAAGUCAUUGGUGCUAUCAAGUUUUUGGUCAUUGAAUAAGAGAUGUACAGUUAGGAUGAUGUGGGUCCCCUUGGGUUGAGUUGGUGGUUGGUUGAAUAGUAUGAUCCCUAGUUAGUAAAUUCGGGAAUAAUUUGCGAAUUAUUCACGAAUUUUUGAAAAUACAUAUUAAACGGCCGUUCCCGUAUUUUUCCAAAAAAUUCGAAAAAAAUCGCGUUUUUUUCGCCAACGAUUUCUAAAAGUUUUCUAAAAAAUUUAAAUACUGUAAAUAAUGUUUAACAGUAUGGAUCAUCGAUUCGGAAGCUCUAUCAUCGAAAACGAUUUAUGAGUACAAGAGCGAUCGUACUCAUAAUAGUAUAGUAGCCGGACCCUAUAUAUAUAUAUAUAUAUAGAAUUAGGCUAGAAUACUAUUAAUAGUAAAACACUUUUUUUGCUAUCAAGUUUUUAACCCUUGGAUGAAAAAUUGUAGGGUCGGGAUGAUAUUAGUCGGUUAGAGUUGAGUGGU
rnacentral:lncRNA from 1 species